GUACGAUCGCAAGAUUAAAACUCAAAGGAAUUGACGGGGGCCCCGCACAAGCAGCGGAGCAUGCGGCUUAAUUCGACGCAACGCGAAGAACCUUACCAAGGCUUGACAUAUACAGGAAUAUGGCAGAGAUGUCAUAGCCGCAAGGUCUGUAUACAGGUGGUGCAUGGUUGUCGUCAGCUCGUGUCGUGAGAUGUUGGGUUAAGUCCCGCAACGAGCGCAACCCUCGUUCUGUGUUGCCAGCAUUUAGUUGGGGACUCACAGGAGACUGCCGGGGUUAACUCGGAGGAAGGUGGGGAUGACGUCAAAUCAUCAUGCCCCUUAUGUCUUGGGCUGCACGCAUGCUACAAUGGCUGGUACAAACGGCUGCGAUACCGCAAGGUGGAGCGAAUCCGAUAAAGCCAGUCUCAGUUCGGAUUGGGGUCUGCAACUCGACCCCAUGAAGUCGGAGUUGCUAGUAAUCGUAGAUCAGCAACGCUACGGUGAAUACGUUCCCGGGGCUUGUACACACCGCCCGUCACAUCACGAAAGUCGGUAACACCCAAAGUCAGUGGCCCAACCGCAAGGAGGGAGCUGCCAAAGGUGGGAUCGGUGAUUGGGAUG
rnacentral:rRNA from 1 species